UACGGGGGGGGCAAGCGUUGUUCGGAAUUACUGGGCGUAAAGGGCUCGUAGGUGGCCAACUAAGUCAGACGUGAAAUCCCUCGGCUUAACCGGGGAACUGCGUCUGAUACUGGAUGGCUUGAGUUUGGGAGAGGGACGCGGAAUUCCAGGUGUAGCGGUGAAAUGCGCAGAUAUCAGGAGGAACACCGGUGGCGAAGGCGGAUCUCUGGGCCUUACCUGACGCUGAGGCGCGAAAGCUAGGGGAGCGAACAGG
rnacentral:rRNA from 1 species